rnacentral:rRNA from 1 species
GACAGAGGGUGCAAACGUUGUUCGGAAUUACUGGGCGUAAAGCGUGUGUAGGCGGCUACGUAAGUCGGAUGUGAAAGCCCCAGGCUCAACCUGGGAAGUGCACUCGAUACUGCGUAGCUUGAGUAUCGGAGAGGUUGGUGGAAUUCUCGGUGUAGAGGUGAAAUUCGUAGAUAUCGAGAGGAACACCGGUGGCGAAAGCGGCUCACUGGACCAUAACUGACGCUGAUGCACGAAAGCUGGGGGAGCAAACAGG